CAAGUUUCAUCACCGUCUUCAUCUACCCUCGCCGUGACAGCGAUGUCUUCAUCCAGAUUUCAGUGUGUUGUUUCUGGUUUCUUAAUGGAUUAUAAUGUUAAUAGGGAGGUGAAGGAGGAGAUCUAGAGCCACUUUUUUAUUACCAUCGUGUUCAGCCACCAGAUUCCGUUUGCAUUGACGAUGAGUUUCAGUUUUUCAAUCACACAAACACGUUUAGUUAAUUUUGCAUGUUGGAUAACUUUGAGAUAGUUUUGUCUACCAGAUUCAUGAUUUUGAAUGAAAGAAGGAAGCGAAAGGGAGAGUGGUGAUGGUGUUAGUUCAAAGGAAAACUACAAAUAUAUCAUGAACAAUUGAAGAAGAUGUUGUCAGAUUCGUAAAAGAAACAUGAUUGGAUACUAAUGAGCGUAUAAAGAUCACUGAUUCAAACCAUGAUCAUGACAAGAGCUCUAGAAGCAGCAAUAGCGACAAUGGUCAUAGCAGCAUCUCGGAUGAUGAAUCCCAUAAAUUCAUUGGAAAGAUAUUGAUAAUAAAACUGGUGGGUAUGUUUCUUCUGUGCCAAGUCAAAAUGUUCUAGUUGCUGGAGAUGCUCUGUUUAUGGGUUAUAUUGCUACUAUGAUUGUAAAGA